AGUGUGAUUGCGGGAUCAUGUGGUGAGAGUGUGUUUUGUUUUGCAAGAACCUGGCGAACUGUCUUCUAAAGUGGCUGCACCAUUUUGCAUUUCCACCAGCAAU
rnacentral:pre_miRNA from 1 species